AGAAUGUGUACAAAGGCUUUUAGGAGUUAGUCAUAUGAUUAGUGGCUCCUGAAUCAAAAUUCGUAAUUUUUUGAAUAAUAUAUUUGAGACAUAUGAAUUAUAUGAAUGAGAAAAUAUAUCUGAAUGUGCUAAUAUACCUCACUUGUAGGAUUCUCCAGGUCCUCACGUCUGCUUUUUGGUUGUCUAAUUUCGACCUUGAAUUUACCCAAAUCAAUCAGCUUCUCUUCUUCGUACUAGUAACGACAAUGGCUUGUCUGUAAGGCUUUUAUGGAGUGUUCUUGUACCCUCAUUCUUUGCUUGAGGUAGUGAGCUUCCUGUGGAGCUUCCAACAUUUUUCCUUGGUUUAUCAAGGCUUCUUACAGAAAGUACACCAUAAAUGUUCUUAUUCUCUCCUAGGUUUUCAUUGAUACUUGGUUCCUUCCCUUGUUGACUUGGUUUGAAGCCUUUAGUUGUUGCUAAGGUUUCAGUAGUGUGAGCUCCAGCAUAACCCCUUUCUAGCUUCCUUCGGCACUAACUAGAGAUGCUACCCCAUUCAGAGAUGGCAUCUCAUUUUUGCCGAAGAUUUGAAUUUUACUUGAUCAUAUUCUUCUUUCAUUCUUGUAAUGAAUUGAUAUGCUGUCUUGCGCCACCAUCUUUGUCAAAAUACUGUAUCUUUGUUGCUUUCCAUAUUGAAGCAGUGAUGCCGAUCAAGUCUCUGCAACGGUCUUUUAAUAAGUGAACAUACUUUGUGAACAAUUUAUUUCUCUGUUUUUGACCAAUUUUUAUAGCCAGAUCAUAUAUUAGAGCGCAUCUUUUACCUUGAAGUAGGUUUCUCUUAAUGAAUCCUGCACUUCUUUCACAGUGGGUAAGAAUAUAACAAUAGUGCUUAUCUCUAAUGUAGUUAAAUUUUAGAGCCAAUCAUUGUCAUUGAAUCAUCUUGAUCUCAUGCAUCAAAAUUUGGGUUUCUCAAUUUUGGUUGAGUGUCUAG
rnacentral:lncRNA from 1 species